AUGGCGGCGCAAGGCACCUCCUCGGUCUCUUCACCAAACGUGUCUCCCACUUCAGUGUCGCCGCCGACUCUGCCCCCGCCCUCUACUGGGAUUUCGAAGUCUCUCCUGGAGGCGAAGGCGAGCUCUUUGAGCCCACAGUCUCUCUCGGCCGGCCACGAGGACUUGUUGCCCCUCGCAGUAUUUUAUGGGCCGCUGGACGCAAAAAACCCACUCCUGGCCUCCUGUGAGAAGGAGAUUCAGGAGUUGCUAGACUUCAUGAAGAGAAAGAAGACUUUAGCUACAACGGAGGAACAGAAAUAUGAGUUCCACCGGCUUUGUGCCACCUCUUUGUUUAAUAUCUGGACCAAAUACGCCCCCCGGCUGCCAGCUGCCUAUUACAACGAGAAGCUUCUGAAGGUUGGAGAUAGACUUUGUGAAAUGAAAGAAUAUAAAUUGGCCCUUUUACAAUGCUAUGGCAGAUAUCUUCAGCAGUUCAGCAUCAACUUUGAUGAGAAUAAAGCAGACGUGAAUCAAUUCAAAACUGUCUUUUUCCCAAAAGGCUUUGGAGACAAAACUGCACCACAUACAUUUCAUGCUUUAAAUGGCAAAAAUAUUUGCAACUACCAGCUGGUCUGUGACAGUGAUGUGAACCUGCAGAAUAAAGAGUCUGUGAUCCACUGUCUGCAAAUCUUGUCCUCCUUCAGGCUCAUCAUGCAGGUGGCUUUGCCACAGGAGCACCUGUGCUGGAUUAUCUUCAAUGGUACCAUUUACAUUUAUACUAUUUGCAGAAAAUUGAUGAUCAGAGGUCAUUCUUCCAAGGCCUUGGAAUACCUCCUGUGGGCCAGUAUAUGUAUGGAGUCCUCAGUGCCUCUCCUGUCCAUCAGGUACUUGACGUGGAGAGCUACUCUUUACACAGCUGUCUGCCAGUGCUACUAUGACUGCCAAGCUGGUGUCCCUGGAGAGGCAUUUGCUCGACGUGCCUUAGCUAAAAUUGAUGAGUUACGGCAACUGGAAUUAAUGAGUUCCUCACAACCACAGGAAGAAUCCAGAGAAUAUUAUAGAGAGGCCACAAUAAAGAUGGCAGUCAUGAUCUUCAAAAGAGGAGUAUUUGAAUCUAGAAGAAAAAACAAAAGUUUCUUUAGACCAAAGAUAAGAGUUAACAUAAAGGAAGCACAAACUAUGCCAUGGCCACGUACGGUCACAGAAAAGCUGCUGGAAGAGUUGUUUGACAGCACUGCCUCCCGGUUUCUGGCUGUCUUGGAAUCUCUCUCUGACUCAAAUCGGCGAGUACUACAGACUGGACCUGUUUUUACAGAUGAAGUAGAAGUUCGUGAUGUUGUCUCAGAACUAUUUAUGGCAGGAAAAGAACUUUUAAUAAUGUCAAAUAUUGGUGCAGAUGGGAUACUUGAUUUUCCAAAAGCACAUCUUCUAGAACUUAUUAUAAAAAGGAAGAAUCUUAUUUCUGUGAAUGCUGCUGUGAAAUUUAUAAAAUUAGCUUUUAUGUAUGAGGAAUGGAGUUUAUUUGAAUCUGCAGCUGGGCAGCUCCUUGAUUUUCUCCAGAGGCAGGAUGACCCAGAGUCAAAGAAAGUGGAAAAGGAUUUAAUUCUUCUUGUUGCGAUAGAACCUUUGAUCAAUGUAAAGAGAAACAAAGGUUUGAUUUUUCCUUUUGACAACUACAAAGAAGGUCAAGUCUAUGUAAAAAAAAUUGCUGCUCACGAUACUUGUGCGAAGUCUUGUGGAUACUCAGAAGACGUUUUCCAUUUGGCGACAACCUUGUAUUCCUGUGUCUGUGACUCUCCGCAGAAUGCUCAGCCGGAUAAGGAAAUCGUUGUGGACAUGAUAAUGUUCCUGUGGCAGAAAUGCAAAUUAGGAAUGCAGCGGGUCACUGUGUCCAAGAAUGACUACGCAAAGUUUACCCAGAAGAUCAGUACUAAUAAAUGGAUUUAUCUUCUGUGGCAGAUAAAUGAAAUCAUUCACUGCUGUAAGAUGGAAGACAUUGACGUUGUGAUGGUGGCAGAGAUCACGUUACGAUUAAGUGAAAUAUUGGAGUCUUUAGGAAACCCAAGAAGAAAAUUUAAAAAAUUUCUAGAUGUAUCUUUAAGGAAAGGGACUAGUGAAACCUUUGGGGCUCCAAAAGGGAGCAUAGAUAUUCUUCCAAUAAUAAAGAAAAAACCUGAAGAACAGUUAUUUUUGGCCUAUGAACUUCUUGACAGAGCCAUUGGUGGCAUAAAUUUGAACUGCAUGUUAACUGCUUUGCCAAAUGGAUCAUCAGUGAUUGACCAUUGCUAUGCCACGCACAACCACUAUGUAGAUGGAGACAUGUGCAAACCAGUCACACCGAAUAAUUUCAUAAUGGAUUUGCAUCUUGAACUAAUUCAAGCCCAGCACCGAAUAGCUGUUGUGCUUCUUGACCAGUUGCAAGUUUUGCAGACUCCAACUGUGAGCAAAAAUACAUCUACCAAAGGUACAGAGAAGCUAAAAAAACCUGCAAGCCCUGAUUGUUUUACAGAAUUAAGUGUGAUGAAUAAAAUAAGGAAGAAUAAGCUAUCUAAAGCAAUUUAUUUGAUGCAGAAAACUCUUCUAAUAUUUGAGAAAGAUGCAACCUGUUCUUCUCUACAGAACUACUUGACGGAAGCAUAUUCUUUGAUUGAGAAGACCGAAGCAGAACAAAGUAUACAAUAUUCACAUCAGAAAUGUGUGGAAACUGCCAAAGGAAAGAAGAGCAGAGUCCCUCCUCCACCCAUUCUGCUCUCCCGAACUUACCGUUCUGUGACAUUAAAACCUGCCCCAUUUGUUUCUGAUGUUAAGGUCUGCUGGUAUUGCAUUUUGGGUCGCAAAGCGGAAGGAAGCUAUGGAAAAGUAAGACUAAACAAUAAUCAUCUCCCAAACUCAGGAGAAGCGAUACCAGCGGAUGGCAAAAGUGUUUUUGAGGUAAAAGGUUUAGAAACCAAUGAAAAAUACGUCUUUGCAGUUGCAGCUUACUGUUCUAGUGGAAAGCUGAUUGGUGAUGCUAUUGGCGAGACAACUAAACCAAUUCUGGUUUACCCACCUCUUUCUGCUGUUACUACUCGGAUGUUAUUGACGCAGGUUGCCUAUCAGACUGGUAACUAUGAUCUGGCUAAGAAAGUUUUCUCACCAGUCUGGGAUUAUUUUGUUGCUUCACCACCUCAGGGUGACCAAUCCAUUAUUUGUUUAAGUAAUAUAAUGACUAUUACACAGAGAAGAUUACAUUCAGAUAUUUUGACAGAGAGUUCUUCCAUUCUCUUAUAUCUUUUUCUUAGAAAUAUUUUUGUAACAAGUGACAUUAAAAUUAAAGAAGAAAAUUUUUUCUGUGAUAAUAUUAAAGGCAAUGAGAUUUUCCCUUCUCAACAAAUUGCUAGACUGAUUGAAUGUGAGAGAGUAUUGGUGGCAUUGGAACUGAGCAACUAUCUAAAUGAUUCCAGUUACGCCCUUCAGGCUGUGACUCAGUGUUACGGCCUCCUUGCUCCUAUCAUUUAUCACAAUAUUGUUUUGGUACCUGUUGUACAGAUCUUGAUAAAGUGUGUGGUGGUUUUGCAAGGACUACCAAAUGUCAUCCACUUAAAGAAACAUCUUGCAAGCUUUGAAAGUGUACAGCAUAUGAUAGCUUGCUGUAUCUUCUACAUAACAAAGAUCCUGCGUUCAUGGAAGGAAUAUGACCUGGCAGUAAUGAUUAUAAAUUAUGGAAAAAAGGUGUUGGACAUCUCAUCAGGUUGCAAAUCUCUAUUUGGUACUACAGACGUAGAGGAAAUGCAAGAAGAGGGUUCUUCCAAGAAGUCUUGCAAGAAUAAGAAGCCACAGCAGGUAUUAGUACCUGAAAAAAUAAAUGAACAGCUGGUUUUAUUGGAGACACAUCUACUCAGACUGACAAAGCAAUAUAUUACAACUGAACUCUCGGGAGCAGAAGAUCCCAUAUUUCUUUACCCUAUAGUUUUAAACUGGUCGGUCAAAGGUGCUGUGAAAGAAGUUAUGAAAUUUAAGCAGAGACCUAGAUUCCUCGAAUUCUUUACACAAGUUAUGCAAAAAUGUAUGCAUGAUGAAAAAUUUCAACCUAUGUUGGAGAUAACAAAUCCUGUCUAUGACUUCUUGAAAAGGAGGAAUGAGUCCCUUCUUGGAAUAAAAAAACUGAAAUACAAGGAUACUUUUUCUAAAAAGGUCAUCAAACCUGUGAAGAAGUACAGAGCCGCAGUAGUGGAGAUUGGAAAAACUACAGAAAUGAAGCCAAAAAAAAAAGCUAAAAAAAAGGAAACUCUAAGAGAAUUUUUACAUAAAAAUCCCUUUAUUUCUGAAAUGCCGGAGCAUGAAAGAAAUAAGAGAGCUGAUGUUCGAAAAGUAGCACAUCGAUUCCUGGUGGAAAACUUGAAUCCUUUAAUAUUAAGUUAUGUUAAAAAGAAGAGGUUCCAUCAAAUAUUUCUUGAGGAGAUGCCCUGGAAAGCUCAGAUGAACCUGUAUCUGGCAAGCGCACACUUCAACCUGCUUUUAACAAAGCUAGGGGAACGUACAAAGAUAAAAUUUGGUUCUUCACCAAUAAUGGUCAGUUUCCGAUCAUGUGACCCUAAUAUGUUCUCACUGUAUAAUUCAGGAACAGUAUUACCAACAGGAAAAAUGACUCUAGAAAACUAUAAAGUGUUGCUUGAUUUCCUUCUUACAGCUAAAAAAAGAAAGGCUCACUUACCAUCAGAUGCUGAAGAAUUUUUGGCAUUUCUUAAUUCCAAAAUGAGUGGUGAAAAUGUUUCCAAGACCCAAACAGUUUAUGAAUCAGACUCUCAGUCGGGACUUAGCAGUAAAGAAAAGGAUCGAUCUGCAAAUGUGGCUCUCUUGGAUCAUUUUAUGAAAAUCUUUUUAUAUUGCAGGAGAGCAAUGGUUCUUGCUCAUCGUGGUGGCUAUUGGACUCUGCUUCAGAACUGCUGUCGGGCCCUUUGGAACUUUACUCAGGAGUUACAAAUACUGCAUAAACAAACAGUGGAUCUGUAUAAGACAUUUCCGAUUAGCCAGGAUAAUUUCCUCUGUAUCUCUGUUUUACCAUUCUAUUUGGGAGCAGAAUUACUUAUUGACAUGUUAAUAGAACUACAGAAUACUGAUUCUAUUAAGACUAUUGAUGAAAAAGGAGAGUUCAGUGUCCCGAGUUGCUACGGAAAUAUUAAAAAUGAUAAAGGUGGUUCCAGCCUUACCUUUGAGCAUCCUCUGGAUGACGUCAAUGUGGUCGAUUUGAAAUGGAUCCAUGACUUUGUAUUAAAAUCUCUGGAACUUGUCUAUCAAGUAGAAAAAUGGGAAACACUCGUAUCACUUGCCAUUCAGUUCAAUGCAGUUUCGCAUGAAAGAUAUACAGAGCAAGUGACUCCACUCCUGGUUUACGCGCAGCGCCAGCUUCUACUGCAAAUAUCCAAAUGCAAGGGCCCAGACAUCAGCCAGCAGGCUUGUGUAAGAUAUGAGACUGAAUACAAACAGAAGAUAACCUGCCGAAAUUUCGUUGGAAUACAGCUCAAGAUUAAUCCUCCAACCAAUAAAGGGACAGCUAUAGGACAGCGAGCAGAUGUCCUUAAAAAGCUUAUCCAUUCAGAAUACAGCAGAGCCAAAGAGCUCCUCUGUGUGCCUGUGGACGUGACAGACACUCUGAGAUGUUUUAGAGAGACCUUGGAAAAAUCCAAAUAUCACAACAGAUCAAUCCGGCACAGCAGAAAGUUGCUUUCGUUAUUUCUCGCACAGACACAAGAUGUUCUGAAAACCAGCAAUCAAAGAAGUCUUAAUGUUCAGGCAUUGCAUGAACUUGGAAAUCUUCUCAUCUUCGCACAGAAGAAAAGGGCUGCUUUUAAGUGUUGGAGUCAAGCUCUGGAUGAAAUUUUCAGAAAAGAAGAUGUGCUCCAUACAUGGAAGGAGCUUGGCAGCUCACUCACCAAUGCCACUGAUGGCCGGUCACCUCCAGGUUCCAAAGACUACAGUGAGGAGCUCCUGUCCAAAGUCGGCAUCUGGGGGUGUUUGCAGGGAGCGGUGAUAUCAGCAAAGAUAGCACAAUUUAUUCAGACAUUGGAUGUUGAAAAGAGAACCAAUUGUUGCCUUUUAUCAGCAUUUCUGUUUCAGGGUUUGCUUAGAACCACACUACCACAUCCUAAAGCUGAACGUUGCUAUGCUCAGUAUGAAAUCACUCAGCUUCUCCCAGGCAUUGAGCUCUUCUCAGACAGAUACCGGGCUGACAUCUGCUCUGUCAUUGCGAGUUUGUAUUAUGUCAUCCGUGAGCUGCACUUUGCUAAGCAAAAUCUAGUAAUUCUGCCUCUCCUUGCAUUGUACCAAUAUUUUGUUUCUGUAAUUUGCCAAGACUUUGUCAGAAAUCUGGAAGCAAGAAUCCUCAAGAUAGAAGUCCUUACAGAUUUAGGAUUCUUUUCUGAAGCCUUUCAUGAGCUAUCCCAGAUAUUUUAUGCAAAAAAUAUGCCUUCUUCAGUACCCACCAGCUAUAAACCUACUGGAAAAAUGAAGCAAUUUCAAUCUUUUGACUCGGGAAAACCUCUUAUUAGUAAAGAAAAUAUGCAGGCACUUGAUGAUUUAAUAAAUAAAGGCAUGCCUGUAAUUCUGGUUACAGUUAGCCAGCAACAUCUCUUAAAUAAGUUUUUAUUUGUUAAAGCAUACUUUUUCAUAAAUGUGGCUGCAACAAUAAAUUGUGUCCCAGAGCAGAUAAUGAAACCAGUUGGCCACGGAGUUAUGAAUGAGAAAAGCAAACCAAAUCUUCUAAACUUGAAAGAGAUGUGUUUAAAGGAUGAGGGAGGCUCACUUUGUCAUCUGACAAAAUCGAAAGAAAACUUUGUUCUUAGCACACUAAAGUCAAUUUUACUGACAGAAGCUGAAGACAGGCUCAACACCCUUCUGUCAGAGAUGGAACAUCCAAGCCAUAAGGACCUCUCUCAGUGUUGUGCUGGCGAACUGGAGAUUGUGGUGGAGGUCAGACUGCAGCUGGCUGCCAUUGCCCUGCAGAGACACCGGGCAGCAUACAGUGCUGCGAUAGUAUUUUCCACACUUAAACUUCUCCAGGAUUCAAAACUUUUUAAAAAGAAGGUAGUAGAAGAUGACUCAGAGAAUUGCACCUCUCCAGAAAGUUAUGUGACUGAAAGUAAAGACGACAAUUUUUUAGAUCCUAUUUCCCUAAAUUCUCGAGAAUAUUUCAACAUUCAUCUGUGGUUGAGGUGCCGCUUAGCCUUGGUGACUGCAUUUGUUGCCCAGAUUCGUGGCAUUGGAAUUGUGAAAGAAAACGAUAUAACGGAUUACGUGAGCCUUAUCAAUGAAGUGUGUGUGGAGGCAAAAGCUGCAGGUGACAGAGAGCUACAGGCUGAAUUCUUGAUGCAAGCUGUAAUUAUCGGCCUACAAGAAAAGCAUUUAAAGGCAGACAUCAUAAAAAGCCUUCAGGAGGUAAUACAGUUGCUUGAAGGACGUGACUUUAUUUCUCCUCGAUCUCAUUUAACCCUGGUGAGAAGUAUGCUUUUGCUGGAUGAUUUAACAAAAGCUGAGAAAUUCAAGGAAACUCCUUUUUCAAAAACAGAAAAAUUGUAUUUGUUGACUCAGUCUCACAACAUUCUUAUAGAACAGAUGAUAACUUUUGGAGAAACAAUUGAAUUGCCUUCAUCAAACACUGACUAUGCAAGUCCAUUACUGCCUUUGAAAAAUAUUUAUCUUCCUCACGUCAUGUUAUUGGCCAAAACAAAAAUGAGAAUUGGACAUACAGUGGCCAAGCAAGUAUAUUAUACCAGUAAAAAGAAGGAUCCUUCAAAGUGGUUACCUGCCCUUCAUUUUUUUGAAAUAGCUUUGAAGCUCGCUAGGACAUCAGGAACAGAAGAACAUGAGGUGGAAGCUGAAAUCUUUUUUCAGAAAGGCAAAAUAGAAUGUCAAAUAUUGAUGGAAGAGAAACCUCCAACUAUGCAACUUGAGAGUCUGUUUGAAGCUAUACAGCUAAGCUUGAGACAUGAUCAAAAUUCAGGGUUGAUAAGAGACUCCUACCUUGAAAUAGCCUUAUUACUUUUACACAUAAGGAAGUCAAAGAGCAAACUUCCAGUGUCACCAUUGACAACUAUUAAGGCUCUUCCCAGAAGGCAUAGUUCUACUAAAGAACCAAUAGUAAAUAAACAUGAAAUGUACAGUUUAUUUGCCUGGAUUGCAAUAAGAGCUGCUGCACAGGUCAGUGAGGCUGUGCUGGCAAUUAAUCUACUUAUUGGAAAGAAGAAUGCUAGAACUGAUAAAGUUAGCCAAGGAGCAUUAUCAAAUAUCCCAGAAUUUGCUUCCAUGGAUCUUUUUUCUUCAUACACAGAUUAUUUGCUUGAUAACUACCAAGUUGUCUUCCAGACUGGCUGUACAUUUUCUUACCUUAGUGAAGAGAUACAUGAGGAUGUAGAUUCUCAGAAAAGAAACCCAAUUAAAGUGGAUAUUACAUGGAUUCUUCUGCUGCGCUACUAUAUUCACCUACAAAGAAUUAAUAAUAUGAGCAAAUUGCUAGCAUCUCUGAAGCCAGGAUCUGGGAUGUCUUUGCCAGAUGACACUCUUCUCACUUCUCUUUUUAACUCUGGAUUGAUUUUGCGCCAAAAAGAAAUGCAUUUUUUCCUUAAAAGAUUCUUGCAGCUAUAUUCUUCAUCUUGUAUUGAUGAAUUUCCAAAAGAACUAUUUCAAGUCAUGGAAAGUCCACCUGUUCUAGAAAAAGUCUUAUAUGAUUCAGCAAGCAAGACAGGAGUAACUGAUGCUUCUCUACACUCCGAUUUAUCAUUAAAGAGCGUUACCAGCCCAUUGUAUGGAGACUCUGUGCCAUCAGUUGUGGUAACACAAGCUGUAAACAAAGAACUUUGUUUUCAGUGGUACAUUCCUCCCCUGGAAAAACCUCCAAAGGAAACAGAACCUAUGGUUUUAUUGUUGUAUGCAUAUAAUAUGAAGCCCCUGAAUAUUUCUGAUGUUGCGUCUACUGCUUGCAACAGUGUGUACGUAGGCUCUUUCUGGGUUCCACUAAAAAGAGUUAUUUCAGUUCAUGAGAAACUAUCUAAUCUUACGCAAAUUGCUGAAAUAUCAUUGCCAACAACUCCUAAAGUUACUUCAAAUGAAAAUUUACGUGAAGUAGAGGAAACAGAGGAGAAAUCCAUUGAUACAGAAAUGGAAAACAUGAUUAUUGUCUGUUGCAAUGAAAUAGUAUCUUUGUUUUUGGGUGAUGAGAUGGCAACUCCACUAUCUGAGGUCCCAUUUGAUGUCUCGCUGCCAUCUAUAUUCAGUCUGGAGAGACUUUUUGAUCUUGCUAGUGGCUGUAUCAUAUCAGGAGGAAGCCUUUUCAACUGGAUGGUGUCAAUUAUUCCCUGA
rnacentral:lncRNA from 1 species